AGAUAAACAGUAGAGGGGCUUUGCUACUUUCUAUAUCAUUUUAUUUAAAUAAAAAAUGUACGGAUAAAUACAAAGAUAAUGUCAAAUAAAAUCACAGCGGUCCAAUUAAGAUCUUUUACAAAACCUGUCAGUUGCCGUUUAACUAUAUUAAAGGAACGCCCAUUAUUCAAUAUUAAUGAAAUAUACACUGUUGUAACAACAAAAUUAUGAUUCUUGUCACUUUUUUUAUUUAACAAACAAAUAUUAGACAUAAAAGUCACGGUUAUUUGUUAAUUAAGCACUGCAAUGUCUUUAAUAUGGCUCGCGUUUUCUCAGACAACUUCCCGUUUUCUUUUAAUCUUUUCCUGCUGGUUGAGGAUUGUUAGUGGUGGAGUGACCCCUUGUUAGCCACUCAGAAGAGGCCGGCCAUUAACACGCCUCGGACGCGAGCCGGUCAACCUGACCAAAUGUAAACUCUAUUAUAAUACAAUACCUAUUAAUUCGCAUAUUUUGCGUCUCUCUAAUCAAUGUAAACAAAUAUUGAAAUUCCUUUAGAUGAUUAUAUUUCAAAUGCAUGGAGCAACUAUAGGAAAUACUCAUGCUAUAUUCAUUUGAAUCCUAGGUUUGUCGAAAUAACCAUUAAAAGAAGGCACCAAGCCGGAAAUAAAUAUAUAGGUAGCAGUAACAAAUGUGAAUAUCAUUCAAAAUUAUGUACUACCAGAAAUCCUGACUAAAUGUCCAAGAUUUGCUUAGGUGCGCGCAUGCAUAUAACUAUAUUAAUAUAGUCAACCACCACCCUGCACUUAAUUGGUGUGAGGAGCAUAGUUAGCAACUUAAAGUAUAUGCAUAACUGCCUUACCGCAGAUGUAAAUGUUCAGCUUACAAUACUCAACUAUUAAUAUAUUCAUUAAACUAAUGAAGAUGGCCACUUUUAAAAGUCUUUACGAGUACUAGAAAACAGUUAUAAUAAUCCUUACAGUAUAUACACAAGUCAUAGGCCAAAUCCAUAACGAGGCUAUCGGGUAUAAUCACCCCCCCCCCCCCAGGAUUGGGUCGUUAACCCUGUACCCUCCAACCCAACAAGCUGGCGCGCCUGACCCCAAACAGCCAGACUACUCCUGGCCGCUGUUCAAGCACCACACCACUUCUUAAGGCUCCCAAAGGGUUGGUGGCGACGUACAACACAACUGGACUAUAAUGGACAUCACUGACAACGGCAAUGAAACUGAACUUCUAUGCAAUUAACGCAACGUGCAGCAACACGGCCAAUAACUACAACUUUGGCGGCAAGCUUAAGAUCUGAGCAGACUUCUUGAGUGCACGCGACACGUCUGUGUCAAUGGCAACACAACCAUCAUGGCAUCGGAUAACUGACUUCCUACGUCAACUUAGACUGCAACUUCCGCCUUUGUCACUACUUCAACAGACUUCUGAACGAUAAAGGAAGAUCGUGACGCAACUAUACACAUUUUGCUCCAAGGCAAUUGUUAUUACUAGAUAUUAUAUAAUAAAACAUUAUAUUUCCAAA